CCCCAGUCUGUAUGUAUGUGCAGAUUUCCUUAACGCAAGCUGUAUGUGAUUGUAUCCCGUAGCUUGUGUUUAUUUUUUUAACCGUCGCUUUAUACAUUUUGUUGAAAACUUCAACAUGUCGGUGGCUUUCGCGCCUCACAGACAACGCGGGAAGGGUGAUAUUACACCCGCUGGGAUACAGAAGUUACUGGAUGAAAAUAAUCAGCUGAUUCAGUGCAUUAUGGACUUCCAGAGCAAAGGGAAAACAGCAGAAUGCUCACAUUACCAGCAGAUGCUUCACAGAAAUUUGGUCUACUUGGCCACAAUAGCAGACUCCAAUCAAAACAUGCAGUCUCUCCUUCCGGCUCCCCCCACACAGAACAUGGGCAUGUCAGGAGGCAUGAAUCAGAGCGGUGCGCCCCCACAGCCCCCCCACGGCCACAGCAUGCCCUCAGACGGCCCGCCCUCUGGCCCACACAUGCAGAACCAGAUGAACGGCCAGAUGCCCGGACCAAAUCACAUGCCCAUGCAGGGCCCAGGGCCCAACCAGCCUCCCAACAUGCCAAGCGGCUCCAUGAACAUGCCUCCCAGCAGCCACGGCUCCAUGGGCGCCUACAACCAUGCCGUUCCCUCCUCCCAGGGCAUGAGCAGCCAGGGCCAGAUGAACAUGAGCCAGGGCCAGCCAAUGGGCAGCUAUGGUCCCAGACCCAGCAUGAACAUGCAGCCCAACCAAGGUCCCAUGAUGCACCAGCAGCCUCCAACGCAGCAGUACAACAUGCCCCCUGGUGGUGGUGGGCAGCAUUACCAAGGACAGCAGAACCCCAUGGGCAUGAUGAGCCAGGGCAACCAUGUAAUGGGACAGAGGCCCAUGCCUCCUUACAGACCACCUCAGCAAGGGCCUCCACAGCAGUACCCAGGCCAGGAGGACUACUACGGAGAACAGUAUAGCCACGGAAGCCAGGGUGCACCCGAGGGAAACUCCCAGUAUGGUCAGCAGCAGGAAGCCUAUCAGCAAGGCCCCCCUCAGCCACAGGGCUACCCAGCACAGCAGCAGUACCCAGCACAGCAGGGCUACCCAGGCCAGCAGCAAGGCUACGGGCCUUCUCAAGCUGCUCCUGGACAGUACCCCAAUUACCCACAAGGCCAAGGGCAGCAGUAUGGAGCAUACAGACCACCUCAGCCUGGACCUCCACAAGGACAACCGCAGCGUCCAUACGGUUAUGACCAGGUAAGUCACCAAGAGGGAAAAAGAAGUUAAAGCAUUUAGAGUAAGGGAGCUUGUGUUUGUGAUUUGGAGCACUUCAUCCUAGUCUUUAAUGACGCCCAGGAAGUCUGUAUUAUCGUUCAGUUCAACUUUAGUGCUUAAUUAUAAAGCAGGAAUCUCUUUAUUAUUAUUAUAAAUAUUAUUAUUUAAAUAUUUUUUUUCUAACACCCAUCCUGUCUAAAUUUCUUUUUUCAUGUGUGUGUUAUUUAAUUAUUUUAUUUAUGUAUUAAUUUAUUUAAAAUCUCCCAUUAAACCUAAAGCCUGUUGAUUUAACACUCCUUUUUAAUCCGGGACACACCAAGUGUGGACUUGUACCGCUGAUCUAGACUGGGCUGAAGUGUGUAGUUUUGUUCUGGUAGCUCCUGCUUUGCAAAAAUGAAUAAAUAAUUCAAACUAAACAAAAAAAAAAAAAGGGAAAGGAAUAUAUAAAAAGGGUUGAUGUGUUUCACAAAGCCAGUGACGUGAUUUAAAGGCUUAAAGUCACUGUGCUGUCAGCUCAUAAGCUGGUCCUCUUGUCGCCUCUGUUAUUCCUGUGUUUCUCUGUGGCCCUUUGGCGAGGGGGCCACUCUGUUCCUUUCAUAUCUCUAUGUUUGAACAUUCAGGGGCACAUGAGGAAAUAACGGGCCGAGUAUUUCAACCCCUGACUAGAUGUUUAAGAAGCAAAGGGUCAAUAUGGCAACUACCAGCAGUAAACGAGAGACGCUCUUCUUCCUGUUAGAGCGUCCGCGUGGCGCUUUACGUCUUUCUGGACCUGCGGAAGGGCUACGGCUCUCCAGACUUCCACUCCCCUUUUGUAAAUCAUGAAGAGAUGGAUCUCUUUCUCACACUCUCUCUCUCUCUCUCUCUCUCUCUCUCUCUCUCUCUCUCUCUCACACUCUCUCUCACACACUCUCUCUCUCACACACACACACACACACUUCUUUUGUGUGCCAUUUCUUUUUUCAAGCACACCCCGAACACCGGAGGAACCACUGACAGUAUACAUUUUCCACGAUAAGUCUUUUGCGUCCACGAGAAGAUAAGGUUGCGAUCAGAACACAGGUUGUAUCAGCAGAUCACAUGGCUGUAACUCUUUUGCCACUUUUUCCAGUGUCAUCCAAAGCCACAACCUCUCCGUUUUAUCCAAAGCCAUCUUAAAAGCAGCAAUGCCUUAAAAAAAAAAAAAAAAAAAAAAAAAGCGCAAAUCAGAGCGGCCUUAUUUAAUUUCCAAUUAAAAAGAAAAGCAGAGAGGGGGAUUUCACCAUCCUGCAGCACAGAGUUUUCACCGCUGCAGUAUGUUCGCAACCAUCUCUUCACUCGAUCAUGCGAAAGUUUAUCUAACUGAAGCAAUAACAGUGGGGGAGGAAGGGGAGCGGCCCAGAGAGAUGGUCUUGCACAGGGAAUAUUCUUCUUAGGCGUCAAGGUCAACCUUGUAUAAUGUACAAAUGUAUUUUAUGCUUUCUAGAUAGAGCUUACUUUGUACUGAGGAUCUGGAAAUGUUUAGCUCUAAAUGUUGUACUUCUCUUGUUUCGCUGAAUGUCUUUUUAUUAGCUUGUUCUUUUUUUCUGUCGUUUUUUUUUUUUUUUUUUUUUUUUUUUUUUUAAAAUAAUAAUAAUUGUUGCCCCUUGCUUCUCUAGUGUAAUGUCUUUGGUUUCCUCCCAGCCAAGCUGAACCUUGAUUAAACCCAUCUGCUACUCUGGUGGUUCACGUGUUAAUUGUCCACAAGGGAGCACUUCGUUUUUAAGUGCAGUGACUCGGCUGUACACCGAAAGGGAAAAAAAAAACCCCACAGUGGACAGUCAGGAGUCGCAUUCAAAUUAAAUUGGAAUCGUACGAACACGACGACGAGUAGUCAAACGCAGAAGAGAACAAAUCUUUUCCUACAAGCCCAGAAUGAUCAGGGGUGUUUUGUUCUUGAUCAACUCGAUCGACUACAAAAGGAUCCUGAUCCACGUUUUUUUUUUUUUUUUUUUUUUUUUUUUUUUUUUUUUUUAAUAUAUAACAGCUAUCCUGUCAGUCAGUAGGAAGAUUUGAGAUCGCGUGUUGCAAAUUUUCUUCCAUAAUCAAGGUGACGCUCAUCGUUGUGCCUGCUUUUUUUUUUUUUUUUUUUUUGUUUUUUUUUUUUUUUUUUGUUUUGUUAUUUUUCCCUGUGAAUUUUGCUUUAUCAGGCUAAAAAAAAUGUGAAUUUGGCUCUUUUCUUUUUUCCUUACCAAAAGCUACAACCAGAUCCUUUUUGUCAUUAAGCUAAUAAGAGUGGCUGCAGAACCACCACUUUUCCUUAAGGGUGUGUUCAUUUUUUUUUUUUUUUAUGUAUAAAACAUGGUACUGGUUGUAGCAUAGUCAUUUUCCUACUUACUCCUCUAAUCGUGUCAUUCUGAGCAUGUACUAUGAUGUAGUAUGAAGCCAGCACAGUUAACACAGGUACUUGCACCUGUGUAUGUUGUCUUUUUUUUGUUUGUUUGUUUGUUUUUUUUGUAAUGUUUUGGGUGGGGUUUGGGAGUCUGAGAUCAGAAUGUACGAGUCUUCUAAAUGUGCUGAUGAGGAAUAAUCAUUUGGUGCUCGGUAUCAUGAUGCAACUCAAAUGUGCCAUGACUGUCUCUUCUUUUCCAUGACAAUGUAAAGUUGUACAUCAUUGUAACUGAACAAAAAAAAAAAAAACGAUAAAAUAAAUUAUUGUAAUACGGGUUUUAUUUC